AUUGAACGCUGGCGGCAUGCUUUACACAUGCAAGUCGGACGAGUGGCGAACGGGUGAGUAACGCAUCGGAACGUACCGAGUAAUGGGGGAUAACUGUCCGAAAGUACAGCUAAUCCCGCAUAUUACUCGAGCGCCCGAUGUGUGAUUCGCUGGAUGGCGGGGUAAAGGCACACCAAGGCGACGAUCAGUAGCGGGUCGGAGAGGAUGAUCAGCCACACUGGAACUGAGACACGGCCCAGACUCCUACGGGAGGCAGCAGUGGGGAAUUUUGGACAAUGGGCGCAAGCCUGAUCCAGCCAUGCCGCGUGUCUGAAGAAGGCCUUCGGGUUGUAAAGGACUUUUGUCAGGGAGGCGGUACCUGAAGAAGAAGCACCGGCUAACUACGUGCCAGCAGCCGCGGUAAUAC
rnacentral:rRNA from 1 species